GUUAGUGGACAAGUAGAAAAGGAAGCCACUGGCGAAUUGCUUGGGAGUUCUGAGCUGCAGUAGGGCUAAGCUGAUGGGGGUGUCCACGCUAAGUCUGGCACCAAUAUGGUGAGCCACCAGGUUGCCUAAGGAAGAGCACAAUGGUCCAGGUCAGAAAAGAGCAAGUCAAAGCUCCUGUGCCAAUCAGUGGUGGGAUUAAGCUCCUAAGUGACCACUACACUUUCAGUCUCAAAAACAAAACAAAGU
rnacentral:sRNA from 1 species